GAGGGUAUAGCUCAGCAGUAGAACGCGUGCUUAGCAUGCACAAGGUCCCAGGUUCAAUCCCCCGUACCUCCA
rnacentral:tRNA from 1 species